GAACUUGUUCUGAUGUACACCGCUUUCUUUUUUUUUAUAUAAAUUUUUUCUUCACUCUUUACUUUGAAAAAUCUUUAAAAAAUAAUUUUUAAAAAAUCGCAUAUUGGUAGCCUUUUAAACUUUUAAACAGGGAAAUAUAGAAAAAAAUGAGUGAGAGUAAAAAACAACAACUUUUAUUAGGUGGGAUAAGUAAAUCUUGAUUGGCAACUAUUUAGUGGUUUAGCUGUGAAUUUUAUGAAUAAGAUAUUGCAUAAUUUGGGAUGUUUUCAAAUCCUUCCUUUGAUAAUAUGCAUUUAGAUGUUCUUUUGCAAUUAAACAAAUUAAUUUAAUGAAACGUUAAAUACAGACUCACAG